rnacentral:rRNA from 1 species
CCCUUAGAUGUCCUGGGCCGCACGCGCGCUACACUGAUGCAUUCAACGAGUAUUUCCUUGGCCGAGAGGCCUGGGCAAUCUUUUAAACCUGCAUCGUGAUAGGGAUAGAUUAUUGCAAUUAUUAAUCUUGAACGAGGAAUUCCUAGUAAACGCAAAUCAUCAAUUUGCAUUGAUUACGUCCCUGCCCUUUGUACACACCGCCCGUCGCACCUACCGAUUGAAUGGUCCGGUGAAAUCUCGGGAUUGUGGCCAGUUCACUUUAUUGGGAGUUGGCUGCGUGAACUUGCUUAAACCUUAUCAUUUAGAGGAAGGUGAAGUCGUAACA